rnacentral:rRNA from 1 species
AUUGAACGCUGGCGGCAUGCCUUACACAUGCAAGUCGAACGGCAGCAUGGAAGAGCUUGCUCUUCUGAUGGCGAGUGGCGAACGGGUGAGUAAAGCAUCGGAACGUACCGUGUAGUGGGGGAUAACGUAGCGAAAGUUACGCUAAUACCGCAUACGCACUGAGGUGGAAAGCAGGGGAUCGCAAGACCUUGCGCUAUACGAGCGGCCGAUGUCAGAUUAGCUAGUUUGUAGGGUAAAGGCCUACCAAGGCGACGAUCUGUAGCGGGUCUGAGAGGAUGAUCCGCCACACUGGGACUGAGACACGGCCCAGACUCCUACGGGAGGCAGCAGUGGGGAAUUUUGGACAAUGGGGGAAACCCUGAUCCAGCCAUGCCGCGUGAGUGAAGAAGGCCUUCGGGUUGUAAAGCUCUUUCGGCUGGGAAGAAAUCGCACAGGCUAAUACUCUGUGUGGAUGACGGUACCAGCACAAGAAGCACCGGCUAACUACGUGCCAGCAGCCGCCGUAA